GUGUGUUCCGCAGAACCGCGACGGAAACACUUAUUUUCGCAUCACGCGAGUCGUGAUCAACAAUCGGACGUUACUGUUGGCAGAAAAGACGAAGACGACAACAGGAAGUGUUUAUUUCAGAUUUCCAGCUCUACGGCUGAUCAUUGUCCUGUGGACGACCAGCUUUAGCCAAGCUUCAGCUUUCUGGAGUCUCAUCCAACACUCCAGGACUCGGUGGCAGCUGCAGCCCGGGAACAGACAAGCUCAUGUCCCCCGACGUGAAAAUUGAUGCUGUUAUACAACAAGCGAAGAGGAGAAGUUGCCGGAGAUCAUGACACACGGCAGCGGUUUGCAUGGAUGUGGCCCUGGGCAAGAAAGGCAGCAAACAUCAAAAUAAAAUCCAGCAACAGUUCCAGGAUCUGUUAGCUCAACUAAAUUUUAUGAAAUGUGAAGCUAAUCUAUUAGGAAACCUAUCGAUUUUUAUGACAAACUAGAAAGUUUUUGCAAAGAAACCGUAUUGAGUUUAUGAAAUGACCCUUUACAUUCAAUAAAUGGACCUGUAUG